GAUGAACGCUGGCGGCGUGCCUAAUACAUGCAAGUCGAACGAAACUUCUUUAUCACCGAGUGCUUGCACUCACCGAUAAAGAGUUGAGUGGCGAACGGGUGAGUAACACGUGGGCAACCUGCCCAAAAGAGGGGGAUAACACUUGGAAACAGGUGCUAAUACCGCAUAACCAUAGUUACCGCAUGGUAACUAUGUAAAAGGUGGCUAUACUACCGCUUUUGGAUGGGCCCGCGGCGCAUUAGCUAGUUGGUAGGGUAAAGGCUUACCAAGGCAAUGAUGCGUAGCCGAAUUGAGAGGUUGAUCGGCCACAUUGGGACUGAGACACGGCCCAAACUCCUACGGGAGGCAGCAGUAGGGAAUCUUCCUCAAUGGGCGAAAGCCUGAUGGAGCAACGCCGCGUGGGUGAAGAAGGUCUUCGGAUCGUAAAACCCUGUUGUUAGAGAAGAAAGUGCGUGAGAGUAACUGUUCACGUUUCGACGGUAUCUAACCAGAAAGCCACGGCUAACUACGUG
rnacentral:rRNA from 1 species